rnacentral:lncRNA from 1 species
UCGUAUUGUAUAACCAUCCAACCCAGCUAGCUGCGGUGUUACAUCAUCCUCACAUGACGAUGCAGCGUUGUCAUUAUCAACUACACUCAAUCGUUAUGAAAAUGUGCCUCCCCUUACUAUAUCAGGUAGCAUUGUUAACUAUUUUAUGUUUCAUCCUAAUGAUGUAGCAUUGCACUUGAAUAAUGUAUUUUCCAAGUAUGAUGACAUAUUCUUGUUGAAACAUGACAACAGGGGUUGUCUUGGAUAACACCAAAGAAAUUAGGCUAAUACGUCCAGGUGGAUGCAAUAAAAACUUGACUGUCGAAAAAAGGGAGCAGAUAAAUGCAAAAAGACGGGCUUCUUAUCAGAAGAAAAGAGAGAUGCUUAUCGAAGAUGAAAAACUUACUCUCCAUACGAUAUCAAGUAAGAUUGUACUAACAUCUAUUUACUUCCGAAGUCCCAAAUGUUUAACAACGCCCGCUCUAUAUCUUGUAAAUAAUGAAUUGAUGAACAUGUCAUCUCACUUGAUGAUGCAACAUCGCGUUCUUCAGCUACACUAAAGAAUGAUGAAAAUCUGACACCCCUUACGGUAUCAGGUAAUGU